rnacentral:rRNA from 1 species
UACGUAGGGGGCAAGCGUUAUCCGGAUUUACUGGGUGUAAAGGGAGCGUAGACGGCGAUGCAAGUCUGAAGUGAAAGGCGGGGGCCCAACCCCCGGACUGCUUUGGAAACUGUAUGGCUGGAGUGCAGGAGAGGUAAGUGGAAUUCCUAGUGUAGCGGUGAAAUGCGUAGAUAUUAGGAGGAACACCAGUGGCGAAGGCGGCUUACCGGACUGUAACUGACGUUGAGGCUCGAAAGCGUGGGGAGCAAACAGG